rnacentral:rRNA from 1 species
UACGGGGGGAGCAAGCGUUGUUCGGAUUUACUGGGCGUCAAGGGCGCGUAGGCGGUCGUGACAAGUCACUUGUGAAAUCUCCGGGCUUAACUCGGAACGGUCAAGUGAUACUGUCGGACUAGAGUACAGAAGGGGCAACUGGAAUUCUCGGUGUAGCGGUGAAAUGCGUAGAUAUCGAGAGGAACACCUGCGGCGAAGGCGGGUUGCUGGGCUGAUACUGACGCUGAGGCGCGAAAGCCAGGGGAGCGAACGGG